GAGAGCGCAGUACAACGGAGAGGAAGUUGUAUGCUGCGUUCGGGAAGGAUGAAUCACUCCUGAAAAAGAAUCUAUUGAUUCUCUUCCAAUUAGUGGAUUGGAUAGUAUCGCAGGUGCGAGGAUUUACUUCAC
rfam:Picea glauca, whole genome shotgun sequence.